GUCUUCUCAGAGUCACACCUGGAGAAUUUCCAGUACUCUACCAGUUACAGCUACAGGAGGGAGAGUCAAGCAGAGGCCUACCUAUUUCGUUCCUAGCUUGGGCAGUAGCUAGUGAGUGGAAGGCAAUCUGCUACAAGU